AGAAAGAGAAGAGUUAUUUGAACAGGUUCAAAAAUUGGACUUCUCACCCAGUUUCACUUAUACUCAACACAUCCAGGAUGCCUGGAUGCAAAGUUGCUGUUCCCUACUGUCCCCUGCUGGUAGUAAGGGGGAAGCGUGAUCCUUCCUCUGCUGGAGGAAGCAGUGUGUCUGUCCUUCAUUUGCACAGAGGACAGGAGUUGUGGGCAAGGCAGUAACAGGGGAGCUUGGAUGAUUCCUUGGAGUUUUCCCUGCCAGUUCACUUGUUUCUGCAUCCUUUCUUCAAAGACCGGAAAAUCCAGAAGUUGGAAAAACAAAGAUUACCAUUUACUUACUGAAAAUGAAGGAGACACUAGAGGAUCUUUUGAUAUUUUUU